rnacentral:rRNA from 1 species
AGCAGCCGCGGUAAUUCCAGCUCCAAUAGCGUAUAUUAAAGUUGUUGCAGUUAAAAAGCUCGUAGUUGAAUUUCGGGGUUAGUAGGCUGGUCAUGCCACCGGUAUGUACUGGUCUUUCUGAUUCCUCCUUCCUGAUGAACUGUAAUGCCAUUAAUUUGGUGUUGCAGGGAAUCUGGAAGGAGGAAUCAGAAAGACCAGUACAUACCGGUGGCAUGACCAGCCUACUAACCCCGAAAGGCGAUGUACUGUCUGGCCGGGCCUUUCCUCUCGGUGAACCGGCGUGCCCUUCGCUGGGUGCGUCGGGGAACCGGGACGUUUACCUUGAGAAAAU